ensembl:lncRNA
UUUUAGCAGUAGGAAGGAAAUACAAAAUUGCAUAAAAAAUGCUAAAUUGAGGUUUAAUCAAUCAGUACUUUUAGAUUUAAUAUUCAAGUACAUAAAACAUGAAGUAUUUUGUACUUUUACACAAGUAAAAAUUUUAAAAGAUUACUUUUACUAGAGUAAUAUUUCAUAAGUGUAUCUGUACUUUGUACACCACGGGCUAAUAAACUAAGGUCUUGCUAGUUUGCAAAUAAAAAUUGGGUGCUACCGCACUGGCUAGCAAACAAACUACAGGCUAGCUGUAAAGUUGUACAUUGAAAGUGAGUUUUUCUGUGGUCUUUGUAUACUUUAUGUACCAGCAGACUCCAUCAUUGACUCCAGCAGAGGUGGCCGUAUCGAUGCCGCCUCCUCUUCCCAAACUCGCCAGUCUGUGUCCAUAAAUGGCAUCUAUCUUGUCGAACCACUUGCAAUACCACUCCAGCUGUUGUCGUCUUUCACCUCAGGGUGGUCGCUCUGCAGCUUCUUGCAUGUAAUGCAUCACUGCUCGGACGUCUGCUGGAACCCCUCGGCAGCCAUCCUCUCAGAAACAUGCUGGAAAACAUUUUCAUUUCUCACCAUGCCAUCAAGUUCCCUUUGCACCCUUUCUUCACUGAUGAUACCCAGAAAGUUCGUUGUUGCAGAUCUCGUCCAGUCUGUAUUUUUGGAUAUUCCUCGCCCACCUUGGAUUCACCUGCACUGGGUUGGAGAAUUACAGCGGCUUGAGCGGGCUGGACUUUAUUCCACUGAAGUUAUUAUCCGAUCGUCUUCCAACUCUUCUCACUGCUUGUUGUAUAUCAAAUAAACCCAUUUAAGCUCUUGCACUUGGAUCUCGAGACUCGAUCUUUGUGACAAUAGGUCUCCUGUUAUUUUCUAAGCUUCUUAUACACAUCUAAGCAUUAGUCCCAGAAGUUGAAGCCACUUCUUUGAGCCCCUCCUAUGUAAACUGUUAAGUUUAACCAUAAUAAUGCAAAGAUUAUAUGGGCAAACAAAUUUGUGAAUAGAUAUAAAAUACCCAACGAUGUUCCUGCAUAUUUACAUAUAUGUAUUAAAUGUUAUUAUAUAUGUAAAUAUUAAAAUUAAACAGUAAACAUUAAAAAUUAAACAUAUAUUGUUUUUUUAUGUAUGGUCACUACAUAUAAUAAUAAAAAAAAUCAUAAUAUACA